CUGAGAGGAGCGCUCCUCCUCCCCCGCACAGCUCCGGCAGACUCGGCCGUGUAUUUCUGUGCUGCCAGUACACAGUGAUGUGGCUUGAUGCCACCGCCUCACCAAAACCCUGGUGAGUGUUCAGGCCCCACGGUCCUCCGGGCACCCACAGACCUUGUCCUCCACGCUGGGCAGACCAACCAGGUGACCCUGCAGUGCAGCGUGGGUCCAGGCUUCAGCAUGAGCAGCUACACCAUGCUGUGGUACCGCCAGGCUGGCCCCGGGGCUCCGCUGGAGUACCUCACCAAGGAGUACGAGACUCCCGAGGGCCACCUCCAGCCCUCUAUCGACACGUCCAGCAACAGCUUCACCCUGCGGAUAUCAGAGCUGUCUCCGGAUGACAGCAGCACCUACCUCUGUGCUGCCAGUCACAGUGCUGCCAAGCAGACUGGGAGCCAUGCAAAUACAUCAUGUGAGGCUAAUGACAUUAGAAUGACAUGAAAG